rnacentral:rRNA from 1 species
CCCUUAGACGUUCUGGGCCGCACGCGCGCUACACUGACCAGUGCAACAAGCAUCCGUCCUUGGCCGACAGGCUCGGGCAAUCUUUGAACGCUGGUCGUGAUGGGGAUAGACUUUUGCAAUUUUUGGUCUUCAACGAGGAAUUCCUAGUAAACGCAAGUCAUCAACUUGCAUUGAUUACGUCCCUGCCCUUUGUACACACCGCCCGUCGCACCUACCGAUUGAAUGGUCCGGUGAAGCCUCCGGAUUGGCGCGCACCUCGGUGCCGCCGAGAAGGUGGCUAAACCUUACCAUUUAGAGGAAGGUGAAGUCGUAACA